rnacentral:rRNA from 1 species
CAGCAGCCACGGUAAUACGAAGGGGGCUAGCGUUGCUCGGAAUGACUGGGCGUAAAGGGCGCGUAGGCGGAUUGUUUAGUUAGGCGUGAAAUUCCAGGGCUUAACCUGGGGACUGCGCUUAAUACAGGCAGUCUAGAGUGAGGAAGAGGGUUGUGGAAUUCCCAGUGUAGAGGUGAAAUUCGUAGAUAUUGGGAAGAACACCGGUGGCGAAGGCGGCGACCUGGUCCUUGACUGACGCUGAGGCGCGAAAGCGUGGGGAGCGAACAGGAUUAGAGACCCCGGUAGUCCCUGUCUCUUAUAC